rnacentral:rRNA from 1 species
UACGUAGGGUGCAAGCGUUAAUCGGAAUUACUGGGCGUAAAGCGUGCGCAGGCGGUUCGGAAAGAAAGAUGUGAAAUCCCGGGGCUCAACCUCGGAACUGCAUUUUUAACUACCGGACUAGAGUAUGUCAGAGGGGGGUAGAAUUCCACGUGUAGCAGUGAAAUGCGUAGAGAUGUGGAGGAAUACCGAUGGCGAAGGCAGCCCCCUGGGAUAAUACUGACGCUCAUGCACUAAAGCGUGGGUAGCAAACAGG